CAGCCCCCUGCCUGGGUGUUCCCGUGGUCUGCAGAUCUUGCAAACAGACGGGAGACCAGCUCUCGCCAGAGUGGAGCCCCGAUAAAUAACACGAGCAUGCAGCAAUUUGCCAACAGCAGCUCCAGGCAUGAGGCACAACAUCUGUUACCGAGACGCUGGAGAGACAGUGGAAGGCAAGUUGGCUGCCUGCCAACCCUCAGACUCCAGAUUUUCGCUGACAAGGCUGUCAAUAAAUGGGCAGAUGGCACCCGCUCUCCUAGCGGGAGAGGAGAGAAUGACUGAAACCUCUUAGAAGAGAAGCUUGGGUGAUUACAGUGUCACCUAGAGCACGCCGGGCCGUGACACAUCUGCAGUGCGACCCGAAGCAGGUCAUCAAACAACUGG
rnacentral:lncRNA from 1 species